AACCCAUGUUGUGGACACUUCCACACGAGAUCCUUGAAUUACUCCCAAGUCUCAAAUAAUGAUUCAAGCUCCAUUUGAACAAAUGAAGAUAUAUCAUCGUGAAGCU